GAUGAAGAACGUAGUGAAAUGCGAUAAGUAAUGUGAAUUGCAGAAUUCAGUGAAUCAUCGAAUCUUUGAACGCACAUUGCGCCCGUCAGUAUUCUGGCGGGCAUGCCUGUUCGAGCGUCAUUACGCCCCUCAAGUCCCCUGUGGACUUGGUGUUGGGGAUCGGCGAGGCUGGUUUUCCAGCACAGCCGUCCCUUAAAUUAAUUGACGGUCUCGCCGUGGCCCUCCUCUGCGCAGUAGUAAAACACUCGCAACAGGAGCCCGGCGCGGUCCACUGCCGUAAAACCCCCCAACUUUUUAUAGUUGACCUCGAAUCAGGUAGGACUACCCGCUGAACUUAAGCAUAUCAAUAAGCGGAGGA
rnacentral:misc_RNA from 1 species